rnacentral:rRNA from 1 species
GACGAACGCUGGCGGCGUGCCUAAUACAUGCAAGUAGAACGCUGAAGGAGGAGCUUGCUCUUCUGGAUGAGUUGCGAACGGGUGAGUAACGCGUAGGUAACCUGCCUGGUAGCGGGGGAUAACUAUUGGAAACGAUAGCUAAUACCGCAUAACAGUAGAUGUUGCAUGACAUUUACUUAAAAGGUGCAAUUGCAUCACUACCAGAUGGACCUGCGUUGUAUUAGCUAGUUGGUGGGGUAACGGCUCACCAAGGCGACGAUACAUAGCCGACCUGAGAGGGUGAUCGGCCACACUGGGACUGAGACACGGCCCAGACUCCUACGGGAGGCAGCAGUAGGGAAUCUUCGGCAAUGGACGGAAGUCUGACCGAGCAACGCCGCGUGAGUGAAGAAGGGUUUCGGAUCGUAAAGCUCUGCUGUAAGAGAAGAACGAGGGUGAGAGUGGAAAGUUCACACUGUGACGGUAUCUUACCAGAAAGGGACGGCUAACUACGUG